rnacentral:rRNA from 1 species
UUUGUAGAAGAGUAAAAGUCGUAACAAGUUUUCCGGAUAGGGUGAACCUGGCGAGAAGGAUCAUUACACCAUUCGGGGCGCUUCGCGGCCGCUCCCUUAUACACCCAACCCUCUCGCCUACGUUGUACCUCUAUAGCUUCUCUGCGGGCGGGGCUUCCGCCCCGCCGCCAGAGAACCCACGAAACCCCUUGCAUUAUACGGCGGAAAACUUCUGAAUAACAAAACCUAAAUUAUCACAAACUUUCAAACAAAUGGAUCUCUUGUGUUCCUGGCAUCGAUGAAGAACGCAGCGAAAUGCGAUAAAGUAGUGUGAAUUGCAGAAAUUCAGUGAAUCAUCGAAUCUUUGAACGCACAUUGCGGCCAUAGGUAUUCCUUUGGCCAUGCCUGUUCGAGCGUCAUUUACACCCUCAAGCCUAGCUUGGUGUUGGGCGUCUGUCCCGCCGUUCUCGCGCGCGGACUCGCCUCAAAGUCAUUGGCGGCGGUCGUGCCGGCCCCCUCGCGCAGCACAUUUGCGCUUCUCGGAGGCCCGGCGGAUCCGCGCUCCAGCAAGACCUUUCACGACUGACCUCGAUCAGGUGAGUACAG